AGCAGCUUUUCUUUCCCUAUGAACGUAAACCAUAGAGAAAUUCCAAACUCCAGCUAAUCAGGUUUCUGCAUCUUUAAGUCUGUUUUGAUUUAUUAAAGGAAUGAAAUGAUGAAUAAGUGUUUCGCAUCUGUACAAAUAAAAUGAUUUCUUGUAUAAGCUGUUCAGUUGCGAAGGUUGUUGCUAUAGAGUGUGUGCCCCACUCGUCUAACCCCAGCAUUGGCAUUUGCUUCAGUAACCCUGAUAAUCAGGUACCCCAGCUCCGUUUCACCUCUAAAUUUAUGCUUUAAAGAUGAAUGACAUUUCAUGCAACAAUUUACAGAGCUGCUACUGUUUAGGAAAUCUAUUCUACCAAUUUGUGUUUGUUGGUUUCAUCUUGUCAGGUGUUUAUGCCUUGUUUAGGAAAGCUAGUUUGCAGUUUGCAUUGCUGUUGGAGUUGUGUGGCCUUCAUCAUCUCUUCAAUAAUCUUCAAUAAGGGUUAUAUCAUGGCUAUUUCAGGUAAAAUUGCUAAAGAUUUUAUAUUAUAGAUAAUAUUUGUUUUUGUUAACUUGAAAAGGAAAAUGGAGUGAAAAUUCCAUUAUUGAUUGUUCUAAUAGGUUUUCUUGUGACCUUCCAUACAAUAAAUGAUUCAUUAUCUUUGCUUUAUGCUUAGCUAACAUUGUUCUUAAGAAACUGCUACUUUCAUUAACAUAAUGUAUCACAAUCAUUUAUUAAAGUGCUAUAAAAAGGUCUGUGCAGUGAUCUUUUUGUAAUAGCUUCUAUAGUGAUGUCUUGGAUGCUAUAAUCCAUUUUUGUUUUUUUGUUUCAAAUACUUCCUACUUGGCUUAGAGGGAUCUGUAUAUGCCUCUCAAAGACGAUGAGAUCUUUGAGCAUGUACAUGGGAGGUGACGAUAAGUUAAAUUUCUUGGCUAUAGACCAUGGGUUGAUAAGUUAGUACUUUUAUAAUGCGGUGAAGAUCAUCACGUGUAGAUACAAAGGAGCUAUUGGCUUAGAUUCACAUUUUAAGAUCAAUAGGAAUGGUUGAGAAGGUUGGUGUGCAAGGGACUGAGUUGCAUUCUUUUAAUUGAGACAUCUCAAAGUGUUUGUGGAAUUCACAUCCCACAAAUUGAUGCUUUCAUUGAGAGCCACCUCAACAGGAUUUUCUAUUUUGUUAUAGAUAACUUAGAACCUUGCUAUUAUUAGGGAAUCUCUUUUACAUUUUACUUUCUAAUUUGUUAUAGAUGAGAUUUCCAAUGUGGAUAUAGUUGUCUCUGCCUGAUGCAAUCCUAGACAUCCAGAUAUCUUGGAAACAUUAGCAAAGUAUGUGCUUGUUCAUAAAGUUUAUUUUUCUUUGUUCCGAGUACAUUGCUUUCUGAGCUUAUCAUUGUGCUAGUUUUUCUUUCUUCCUUUUGGUUUAAUAAAGAAUGAUAAUGAUGCAAGCCAGAAUAUUUAGCAUCUUGAGCAACCAAUUAUUCCUUGUAAAAGAAUGUUUCUGCAUCUUUAUGUUGGUUUUGAUUUAAUAAGGAUUUCUUGUCAAAGAUGUUCAGUUUUAAAGGUUGUUGGCUGGUCAGGUCCCCACAAUUUUUUUUCCCUCUUGUACUGUCUCUUCACGUCAAUAAUGCCAUAAUAUGAAGGAAAACUAUGGAGUCUGUCCCCUUUUUUAAACUCUGCAGUGGCAUUUGCUUCAGUGACUCUGAUAAUCAGGUACACCAUCUUCAUUUCUCCUUUAUAUUUAUGAAAUAACCCAAUCAGUGUUUUCUUUGUUUUUUCUUUUGUGGCUUAGAUUUCUCCCUCCUUUUUUGUUUCUUUUUCUGGGGUCUCAUUUAUGUUGCUGUCACUAUGGUUAUGUUUUAAAGAUUAAUGACAUUUCAUGCAACAAUUUACAGAGCGGCUACUGUUUAGGAAAUCUAUGCUACCAAUUUGUGUUCUUUGGUUUCAUCUUAUCAGAUGUUUUGAGCCUUGUUUUGGAAAUCUGUGGUAAAUAAAAUUUAGGUUUGUUUCAUAGUAGUAUGAUUUUCACUGAGAACUUGGGUUGAUGAAGAAGAAAGGUUGUACGUGGGUUUUAAAGUAUACUGACUACAUCUUAUGAGAUCUUGAGGUAGUUUGAGUAUUAUAUAUAGAUUAGAAUGCCCAGCAAGCAGCAGUGAAUUUUUUUAUAUAAGUUGCCGUAUCUGGUAAAUAAAAUUGUAUACAGCUCUGGUUAGAGUUCAUUUGGUAUUGUAAUAUUUCACCUUUUCAAACGUUUUCUGUCAAUGUACAUGAGCACAAAUUGAAGUCCACUCAAAUUUUCUUUUAUUAUCAUCAAUGACUGAAAAUCAAAUAGACAGAAACCUUACAAGUUCCACGUUUUAAACAAUUGCCAGAGCUGAUGAGGGCACUCCAAACAAUAAAAAUAGGAAACCAUUUUUAUUUGGAGAUGUUAAACAGGAUCCUUGGUUCUCAUCAUUUACAAAAAAAAAAAAAAAAAAACAUGUACUUUCUGAAGUGCCUAAGCCUGUAGUGGGGCAGAUUUCUAAUGGGGAGCAGAGUAGAAGAACUAGUAAGGUCGGCUUGGCACACCAUAAAUUUGACUUGGUUUACCUUUCCUACAGUCUAAAAACUUGUACAUUAAGCUUAUUUUUUAAAAUGUAUGGACUUUUGGGUUGUGUGUGGAUUGUUCUGAUUUUAGCAUUGUGUUAAUUGAUUUUGAUUCAAUUAUGGUCAGUAUAUGUCCUGGGCCCUUUUUCAGGUGAUAGAAGCAAGUCAGGCAUUUUAAGAGCUUUUUCUUUAACUUUUAAUAGAAUUUUCCUUUCUUAACUACUGCUGUCAACUCUUUGGGUUCUGAUUUUCUGAUUGUCAUUGUAAGUCUUCUAAUUGAGCAUGAUAUUGUCUUUGUGUUUUGAUUUUCUGAUGGGUAUCGUGUUUACUCUGUCUUCUUUUGUUUUUACUAUAUCUUUUGUGCCUAAACAUAUCUUGCUCUCUUUCCUCGUUGUUGGGUUAGUUUGUGACCUAGGUUUGUUUUCACUAGUAUUAUGUAUAAGAUCGUUUAAAAAUGUGUUUAAGCACAUCUUUAGUUCCUAUUCUUCAUUGCUUGUUUAUCUUGUUUGAUGCUUGAGCUUUAUUUUCGGGUACUAAGAUGUUUGAGCCUUAUUUUCGGGUACUGAGAUGUUUGAACAAUAUAUUAAGGUUACCAUCCAAAUGUUUGCGUUUUCCUGAAGUAUACUCUUGAAGAAAUCUUUGGUCCCAAUUCUUCAUUGCUUGUUUUAUCUUGUAUGAUGGUGAACCUUAUUUUCAGGUGCAAAGAUGUUUGAACUCCAAGUUUUUCUUUUUCAAUUUUUUGUUUUUGCAUGAUUUCAAUAUUGGUCGUAUUAAAAUAAAAGAAUUCACAUAUUGGCAGAAAAUAUGGGGAUAAAUGGACCUCAUAAGGAAAGAAACAAGGAUAAUAGAUUUACCUAUUCCAUUGUCUAAUUGAGAAUCGAGUGUCCCAUAAUGGACACUCAAUUUAAUCCUGUUUUUCUUUUUGGUUUUGGUCAAAAUCUUGUUACAUACGGUUGGCCAAUGUCAAACCUUGUAAGUUCAAAUCAGGCAUUGUGAAUUGGAGAAUUUUCUGUUUUCUGUUUUCUGUUUUAUGCACUUACCUUACCCCAUACUAAUAUAAUUUUCAUAGGAUUAUGUGCACUACAUGAGAUCUUGAGGUAAUUGUGUGAGUAUGUAAAUACAAUCCGAACAGAAACAGAUUAGUAAUUGAGUUGUAGUAUUUGGUUCUCUACUAGCUAAUUGUUACAUUAGUAGUGGAUCAUAAAUGGUCAGUUCUCUUCAAUAGUCUGGGGAAUAUAAGAUUCAAUUUUAUUAAGUAUUGUAUUGUUUUUCACAUGUUCUGAAAAUUUACAGAUGUCAUUUUCUUCUGAAAAAAGUUCUCAAUAUAUGUUAUUAGUUGGUGCUAUAAUCUUGAUAUGUUUCUGUUUCCUGACGGUUCUUCAGGGAAAUUGAAGUAUUUCUCAUAAUAUGUCCCUCUUGUGCUACCCCUUCGCGUCAAUAAUUUCAUAAUAUGAUGAAAACUAUGGACUGUGUGGCCCCAUCGUCACUGUGUUUUCUUUGUUGUCUUUUGUGCCUCAGAUUUCUCUCUUCCCCCUCCCUCUUUUAAAGAUGAAUGACAUUUCAUGCAACAAUUUACGGAGUGGUUAACUGUUUUAGGAAAUCUAUGCUACCAAUUUGUGUUCGAUGGUUUCAUCUUGUCAGGUGUUUGAGCCUUGUUUAGGAAAUCUGUGGUAAAUAAAAUUUGUGUUUGUUAAUACAGACUUUGUGCCUUGUAGAGUCUUAUCCAAAUUGUAUACUAGUAUGAUUUUCACUGAGAACUUGGGUUGAUGAAGAAGACAGGUUAUAAUUUUUAAAGUAUACUAUCUGCAUCUUAUGAGAUCUUGAGGUAGUGUGAGCAUUAUACAUAAUAUUAGAAUGCCCAACAGGCAGCAGCUCUGGUUAGAGUUGAUUUAGUAUUGUAUUUGUUCACCCCAAAAAGUAUGGGUUUGUUUUUAUUUAAUUUUUUCUAUAUA